UACGAAGGGGGCUAGCGUUGCUCGGAAUCACUGGGCGUAAAGCGCACGUAGGCGGACUCUUAAGUCAGGGGUGAAAUCCUGGAGCUCAACUCCAGAACUGCCUUUGAUACUGGGAGUCUUGAGUUCGGGAGAGGUGAGUGGAACUGCGAGUGUAGAGGUGAAAUUCGUAGAUAUUGGGAAGAACACCGAUGGCGAAGGCAGCCAUCUGGACCGACACUGACGCUGAGGCGCGAAAGCGUGGGGAGCAAACAGG
rnacentral:rRNA from 1 species